CCUAGAGUUGUAGGCUUUGCCUGCUAUCUCUUACCCAUGUCUUUUGAGUACCUUCGUUUCCUCGGCGGGUCCGCCCGCCGAUUGGACAACAUUUAAGCCCUUUGUAGUUGCAAUCAGCGUCUAGAAAAAAACUUAAUAGUUA
rnacentral:misc_RNA from 1 species